UCUGCAGCGACUUCGAAUGCAUAAGCAGCCCCUACGUGGAGUCCAUAAUGAGGCAGGUCGCGCGGGACAUCUUUGAGCUUCGCGAGGAUAACCGCGCAUUCAGCUGCUACGCCGUCCCCGUGAAGUAUGAGGCUCCUUCCUGAUGAUAAUUUAUAAUUAUAAAUCGAGGAAACUCCAAUAAGUUUCCUUCCUUUUUUUCCUUUCGUUUUUCUCCCUUCUCUGAUUUUUCACUGUGGAGGGACUGGACUUCCGACAAAGGAAAUCACAACAUUGUAUAUGAUUGACUUGUAAUAUGUUAGUAAAUAUAUCUGUACGUUAUGACAAGAGAUAUAACUUGUUUUAGGGCUAGUUUGGUAACUUUAUUUUUUUCAAGGAAUUUUUUCAUUUUUCCGAGGGCAAUUAGUUCAUUUUUUACAGGAAAAAUGUAAAUCCCUUGAGAAAAAUGAGUUGCCAAACUAGCUCUUAUCUAGAUAAUUUGUAGCUCAAAAUUUUACAUCCAACAAACAAGGUGUAUAUAUAUGUAUAUUUACAUGUA